UUAUUCUGGAAUAAUCAAAAGGUGGACUUAUUUUUAGUAGACGGGCUAAAGGUCGUAUUAUUUUAAGAAAUUUUUCCUUUUAUUUAUUGAUUUUUUUUCGAACAAGGGAAAAGAAAAAACUUAGCUAGUAAAACCCUCAGAUCUCCCAUUACCCCCAAACUUAGUCUAAAAUUUCCCCUAAAAUAAAAAACUCCCGACCCAGAAAAAUUGCCCGCCACUUGCAACUUGAGGACCGUCGGAGUUCCACCAUCUACAACGCCAUCCACCAGCAACGUCCCACUGGAGUUCUUCCGUCCACAAUUGCCCUCUACGCCUUCCACAAUCGCCCACUACCGACCUUCUUUUAACCUAAUUUUUGGAUAGAAUUUCUUUCUCACCGUCGUUUCGCCGUCAGCCACUUCAUCCUCCACCUAUCAUCAGCGGUUCGACCACCUCACUGUCGCUGUCUAAGGGUUUGCCAUGGAAGAAAGUGGCGAUGACUACAGCCAGGAGCGUCAAGAUAUGGAAGAACUUCAACAGGAUGGUGCUACAUCACAACCUAAGCCUAAGAAAAAAGGAAGAGGUCUGUCAAAAGGGGUCCAAACAACAACUCCUACCUUCCUUGAAUUUGAUGAAUUUGGUUUACCUACGGGGCAAUGGGAAUCUGAAUAUGGAAAACAAAUUGGGACUUGUUCCAAAAAAGUUGACAUCAACGUAAGGAAUAUUCAAAUAUGGAUAAGGUGGAGAAGAUAAACCUAUGGGAGGAAACAAAGGUAUAAAUGAUUUAAAUAUGCUUAAUUUGUUGAAUCUAUGUUACCCUUACCUUGCCAAAUACUUUUUUUUUUAUUUUUUUAUUUUUAUGGAGCAGCGAAAGUUCCACAUUGAUGAUCCCGAUGAAGUUAAGGAAAAGUACUUUCAUGUAGUUGUUGGAAACAGAUUUAGGUGACACAAGUCAUGGUUAAAUGCUCGUGACCGAAGCUCCUGCCGAAGAUUCAAUUAAUGCAAAAAUGAAGCCAUGGGAACUUUAUGAGGGUUUCAUCACAGAGGAGUAGUGGAAAGAUUUUAAGGCAUAUUACACAUCAGAAGAAUUCAUGAUAUGUAAAUAUUAGUGUCAAAAUUUUAUAAGAAUGGGAUGACUAUGAAUAUAUUACUAAUAUGGUAAUUACUUAACAGCUUAAAAGUGAAAGGGGGAACGAAAAUGCAAAAAAGAAAAAAAACAAAAAUCGACAUCACUUAGGGCUAAGAAGCUAUGGGAGGGCUCGAGUACACUAGAAAAAGUCAAAUAGACUUCCCCUGGUCUCUGAAUCAUCAACCACGAGCAACACCACUGAAUUAAGUACUAUGACAAUAAGUGAAAGGCUUACGUAUCGUUCUCUUGAAUGGGUCUUAGCACGUCAAAUUGUGUUACCCGAUGGAUCUUAGGGUAUAGUCCUUCAAGAUGUAGAAACUGUUGCAAUUGCAAAAUCAGUAUUAGAGAACAUGAAAAAGAAGGCCUUAGAGGGACAAGAAGGAACAAGUUCAUGUGAAGAGCGAGGCAUUGAUGCCCUAACCUUAGCAUUAGGGAAAAAGGAUAAUCGGGACCAUGCCAAAGGACUUGGAAGGUGUGGGGUUGGUGUUGGCCUUACUAAAGCAUUUGAGAAGCAAGAUCGAAAGGGGAAAAGAUCAAGCCAGAGUAGUUGUUAUGUUAAUGAAUUGGAAGCAAUGAAAGAUUCAUUAACUUAGGAAUUUGAAGCAACACUUGAAGAGAAGGUUGAAGAGAAGUUGCAAAAAAAGGUUGAGUCAACAGGUAGCUGAGGAGAUUUAGACUUAUCUAGCUAAUUUGAUUCCUCGCUUAAACUCAACAUUGCCAAUAAUGCAAUCAAUUAAUGAACAUCAAAUGCCCCUUACAAACGAUCUUAAUCAAAUUAAAGCAUCACGUAUGAUACAGGUAUAUGUGAAAAUAUUGUUAACAAUAUAUCAAGUACACAC